GUUUCAACGUUAUUGUUAUUUAAUUAAAUAACGCGUUACGCAAUUUGGAUUACAUAAAAAGCAUUUUAUAUCCAAGACUUAAUUUUAAAUGUAUUCACUGCCGAGUAAUCAUAUCGAUUACCUAAUUAAGCAUAGUUUCGAUUACAUUCAAGAUAGAUUUGUUCUGGCCUUUCUUUUUGCACAAUUACUUUGUGCUUUCACUUUCUUCCGGCUAUUAGGUGUUCAUUGAAGCGUGAAAAAAGAGAGCAGGGUUCUUAUUAUUUAACAAAACCGGUUGUCUAUUUAAGACCUCCCAAUCAUUGUAGAGUUCAGUAACAAUAAAGAUUUCGUCGUAGAUAUUUUGAGAUAGCCGCUAGCUCCACAAUGAAUAUGGAAAAACGCUUAUGUAUCUUAUUACUGCUGUCCCUGGUCAUCCUCUCCGCUGCAAGACCACAGGAGUUUGAAGAUGAUGAAGACCAUAGCCAAGCUGACGAGAAAAAAGAUGACGUAGCACGAGUACAAAUAAAGGUUUACAGAGGACCAACAAAGCAUGACGGCUACGCACCAUGGGGCUUCUGGGUCAAACAGCCUUCGGACGAUUAACGCUAGAUGGCGCUACUAGUUAAUACGUGAACCACAAGCAUUUUUAUAUUAAUUAAUAAUAGACAUAGAUAUAUGUAUUACUAGUAUAGUUAAUUUAAAUUAAAUAAAAAUAAGUAGCAAUAGAUAAGAUUAAGUUUUAAUUUAGUAAGAGCUCGAUUAGUUUCUGUUUGGUUGUUUAGAUGGCGCUGUUUCUGUUUGCGCUGUUUUUUGUAAAAACCAAAGAUAUCGUUGAAUUGUUUUGUUGUUGAAUAAAGGUUGAUAAGUGUU